rnacentral:rRNA from 1 species
CUGCAACUCGCCUGCAUGAAGUCGGAAUUGCUAGUAAUCGCAGAUCAGCAUGCUGCGGUGAAUACGUUCCCGGGCCUUGUACACACCGCCCGUCACACCAUGGGAGUCGGUAACACCCGAAGUCGGUAGCCUAAACCGUAAGGAGGGCGCCGCCGAAGGUGGGGAUUGAUGACUGGGGUGGAAGUCGUAACAAGGUAGC